ACACAUGCAAGUCGAACGAGAAUCUACUGAAAGAGUUUUCGGACAAUGGAUGUAGAGGAAAGUGGCGGACGGGUGAGUAACGCGUGAGGAACCUGCCUUGAAGAGGGGGACAACAGUUGGAAACGACUGCUAAUACCGCAUGACGCAUAGAGGUCGCAUGAUCUUUAUGCCAAAGAUUUAUCGCUUCAAGAUGGCCUCGCGUCUGAUUAGCUAGUUGGCGGGGUAACGGCCCACCAAGGCGACGAUCAGUAGCCGGACUGAGAGGUUGAACGGCCACAUUGGGACUGAGAUACGGCCCAGACUCCUACGGGAGGCAGCAGUGGGGAAUAUUGGGCAAUGGGCGCAAGCCUGACCCAGCAACGCCGCGUGAAGGAAGAAGGCUUUCGGGUUGUAAACUUCUUUUAAGAGGGAAGAGCAGAAGACGGUACCUCUAGAAUAAGCCACGGCUAACUACGUGCCAGCAGCCGCGGUAAUACGUAGGUGGCAGGCGUUGUCCGGAUUUACUGGGUGUAAAGGGCGUGCAGCCGGGUCUGCAAGUCAGAUGUGAAAUCCAUGGGCUCAACCCAUGAACUGCAUUUGAAACUGUAGAUCUUGAGUGUCGGAGGGGCAAUCGGAAUUCCUAGUGUAGCGGUGAAAUGCGUAGAUAUUAGGAGGAACACCAGUGGCGAAGGCGGAUUGCUGGACGAUAACUGACGGUGAGGCGCGAAAGUGUGGGGAGCAAACAGGAUUAGAUACCCUGGUAGUCCACACUGUAAACGAUGAAUACUAGGUGUGCGGGGACUGACCCCCUGCGUGCCGCAGUAAACACAAUAAGUAUUCCACCUGGGGAGUACGAUCGCA
rnacentral:rRNA from 1 species